AACGAACGCUGGCGGCAUGCCUAACACAUGCAAGUCGAACGAGAUCUUCGGGUCUAGUGGCGCACGGGUGCGUAACGCGUGGGAAUCUGCCCUUUGGUUCGGAAUAACAGUUGGAAACGACUGCUAAUACCGGAUGAUGACGAAAGUCCAAAGAUUUAUCGCCAGAGGAUGAGCCCGCGUAGGAUUAGCUAGUUGGUGUGGUAAAGGCGCACCAAGGCGACGAUCCUUAGCUGGUCUGAGAGGAUGAUCAGCCACACUGGGACUGAGACACGGCCCAGACUCCUACGGGAGGCAGCAGUGGGGAAUAUUGGACAAUGGGCGAAAGCCUGAUCCAGCAAUGCCGCGUGAGUGAUGAAGGCCUUAGGGUUGUAAAGCUCUUUUACCCGGGAUGAUAAUGACGGUACCCACAGAAAAAGUCCCGGCUAACUCCGUGCCAGCCGCCGCAGUAA
rnacentral:rRNA from 1 species